GUGCUCACUUUGUCAGCACAUAUACUAAAAUGGAAAGAUACAGAGAUUAGCAUGACCCUGCACAAGGAUGACAUGCAAAUUCAUGACACAUUCCAUAUUUUU